rnacentral:rRNA from 1 species
AUUGAACGCUGGCGGCAGGCCUAACACAUGCAAGUCGAGCGGAUGAAGGGAGCUUGCUCCUGGAUUCAGCGGCGGACGGGUGAGUAAUGCCUAGGAAUCUGCCUGGUAGUGGGGGAUAACGUCCGGAAACGGGCGCUAAUACCGCAUACGUCCUGAGGGAGAAAGUGGGGGAUCUUCGGACCUCACGCUAUCAGAGGAGCCUAGGUCGGAUUAGCUAGUUGGUGGGGUAAAGACCUACCAAGGCGACGAUCCGUAACUGGUCUGAGAGGAGGAUCAGUCACACUGGAACUUGGACACGGACCAGACUCCUACGGGACGCAGCAGUGGGGAAUAUUGGGCAAUGGGGGAAAGCCUGAUCCAGCCAGGCCGCGUGUGUGAAGAAGGUCUUCGGAUUGUAAAGCACUUUAAGUUGGGAGAAACGGCAGUAAGUUAAUACCUUGCUGUUUUGACGUUACCAACAGAAUAAGCACCGGCUAACUACGUG